UACGGAGGGUGCAAGCGUUAUCCGGAAUCAUUGGGUUUAAAGGGUCCGCAGGCGGAUUUAUAAGUCAGUGGUGAAAGCCUACAGCUUAACUGUAGAACUGCCAUUGAUACUGUAAGUCUUGAAUGUGGUCGAAGUGGGCGGAAUGUGUAGUGUAGCGGUGAAAUGCUUAGAUAUUACACAGAACACCGAUAGCGAAGGCAGCUCACUAGGCCAUUAUUGACGCUCAGGGACGAAAGCGUGGGGAGCAAACAGG
rnacentral:rRNA from 1 species